UACGUAGGCAGCAAGCGUUGUUCGGAGUUACUGGGCGUAAAGGGUGCGUAGGCGGUCCUAUAAGUAUGGUGUGAAAUCUCCCGGCUUAACUGGGAGGUGCGCUAUAGACUGUGGGACUAGAGUGUGGAGAGGAAAGUGGAAUUCCUGGUGUAGCGGUGAAAUGCGUAGAUAUCAGGAGGAACACCGGUGGUGUAAACGGCUUUCUGGACCAUAACUGACGCUGAGGCACGAAAGCGUGGUAGCAACAGG
rnacentral:rRNA from 1 species